GAUGAACGCUGGCUACAGGCUUAACACAUGCAAGUCGAGGGGAAACGACGGGGAAGCUUGCUUCCCCGGGCGUCGACCGGCGCACGGGUGAGUAACGCGUAUCCAACCUGCCUCUGACUGAGGGAUAACCCGUCGAAAGUCGGCCUAAUACCUCAUGGCAUCGUCUGCGGGCAUCCAACGACGAUUAAAGAUUUCAUCGGUCAGAGAUGGGGAUGCGUCUGAUUAGCUUGUUGGCGGGGUAACGGCCCACCAAGGCGACGAUCAGUAGGGGUUCUGAGAGGAAGGUCCCACACAUUGGAACUGAGACACGGUCCAAACUCCUACGGGAGGCAGCAGUGAGGAAUAUUGGUCAAUGGGCGAGAGCCUGAACCAGCCAAGUAGCGUGCAGGAUGACGGCCCUAUGGGUUGUAAACUGCUUUUAUGCGGGGAUAAAGUGAGGGACGUGUCCUUCAUUGCAGGUACCGCAUGAAUAAGGACCGGCUAAUUCCGUG
rnacentral:rRNA from 1 species